rnacentral:rRNA from 1 species
AUUGAACGCUGGCGGCAGGCCUAACACAUGCAAGUCGAACGGUAGCACAGAGAGCUUGCUCUCGGGUGACGAGUGGCGGACGGGUGAGUAACGUCUGGGAAACUGCCCGAUGGAGGGGGAUAACUACUGGAAACGGUAGCUAAUACCGCAUAACGUCGCAAGACCAAAGUGGGGGACCUUCGGGCCUCACACCAUCGGAUGUGCCCAGAUGGGAUUAGCUAGUAGGUGGGGUAAUGGCUCACCUAGGCGACGAUCCCUAGCUGGUCUGAGAGGAUGACCAGCCACACUGGAACUGAGAGACGGUCCAGACUCCUACGCGAGGCAGCAGUGGGGAAUAUUGCACAAUGGGCGCAAGCCUGAUGCAGCCAUGCCGCGUGUAUGAAGAAGGCCUUCGGGUUGUAAAGUACUUUCAGCGGGGAGGAAGGCGGUGAAGUUAAUAGCUUAACCGAUUGACGUUACCCGCAGAAGAAGCACCGGCUAACUCCGUGCCAGCCGCCGCCGUAA